ACUGAAGACACCGUGUUUGUCAUUCAGCCCCUGUAAUUUAAUUGGGGGGGGGUGUGGUUCAGAUGUAGGCAUGGUCUUGGAGGUAGGUGUGAGUGUAAAAAGGGCUGUGGAAAUUGUGUUGAGGUCUGGUAGAAUUGAUACUGACAUCUCUGAAUAUCAACUAUCGUGGGCUGUGCGAGUGUCCAGGCAUCAAGAACAGACAGACUGGGACAGACAUACCAAAGAAAGAUUCCACAUAAGUCUGUCUUGCAAAUAUUUAUUGAGAGACAGCUAUAAGCUAAGCUCUUGGGAUCUAAUGACAAUGAAGACAGA
rnacentral:lncRNA from 1 species